GAGACUUUUUGUGUGUCCUGAGCCUCCU
rnacentral:piRNA from 1 species